GACGAACGCUGGCGGCGUGCUUAACACAUGCAAGUCGAACGGACAGGCCAGGCUUUUGUGGGUUUGUCGAGAGGCGCAGGGGGGAGUAACACACGAGUAACAUGUACUUAACUGUGGGAUAACUCUUGGAAAAAGGGGCUAUUAUCGGAUAGAAGCUCUUGAUGCAUGUUGGGGGAUGGAAAGAUUCGGCGGUGGUGGCUAGACUCGCUGCUUAUGAGCUGGUUGGUGGGGUAGUGGCUGUCAAGGGCUUUGAGGGGUAGCCCGCCUGAGAGAGUGACCGGCCACCUGGCGCCUGCGAUACGGCGCAGACUCCAACGGGCCGCAGCAGUGGGGAACCUUGCACAAUGAGCGGACGCCUGAUGUAGCAACCCCGCGUGCGUAAUGACCUCCUUCGGGUUAUAAACCGCUUUCGCAUGUGCCGAAGCGUGCGUGACGGUAAUGGAUAAAGAAGCACCGGCUAACUACGUG
rnacentral:rRNA from 1 species